GAUGAACGCUGGCGGCGUGCCUAAUACAUGCAAGUCGAACGAGGUGCUCAAGUAGCAAUACGAGAGUAUCCUAGUGGCGAACGGGUGAGUAACGCGUUGGUGACCUGCCCCAAAGUGUGGGAUAACAGUUCGAAAGGACUGCUAAUACCUCAUGUGGUCUUCGGGUUUAGAAGCCGAUGACUAAAGGAGUAAUCCGCUUUGGGAGGGACCUGCGUCCCAUCAGCUAGUUGGUAGGGUAACGGCUUACCAAGGCUACGACGGGUAGGGGACCUGAGAGGGUGGCCCCCCACAAUGGAACUGAAACACGGUCCAUACACCUACGGGAGGCAG
rnacentral:rRNA from 1 species